rnacentral:rRNA from 1 species
UACGUAGGGAGCGAGCGUUAUCCGGAUUUAUUGGGUGUAAAGGGUGCGUAGGCGGCUUUACAGGUCUGUGGUUUAAUCCCGAAGCUUAACUUCGGUUCGCCAUAGAAACCGUAUCGCUUGAGCAUGGUAGAGGCAAGUGGAAUUUCUAGUGUAGCGGUUAAAUGCGUAGAUAUUAGAAGGAACACCAGUGGCGAAGGCGACUUGCUGGGCCAUUGCUGACGCUGAGGCACGAAAGCGUGGGGAGCAAA